rnacentral:pre_miRNA from 1 species
UGUUCAAAUUUCCAUCAAUUUCUAUUGUUAAAAAUUGGUUCAUAUAUGUCAGCAUGGGAGACACGUGGCAAGCAACGUGUCAUUAUUUGGUUAUUUUGUUAACCAAGCCAAUUUUUAACAGUACAACUGGAUGAAAAUUUAAAUA